rnacentral:rRNA from 1 species
CUGUUUCGGCUAGGGGGCCAUCCCGGCUUACCAACCCGAUGCAAACUGCGAAUACCGGAGAAUGUUAUCACGGGAGACACACGGCGGGUGCUAACGUCCGUCGUGAAGAGGGAAACAACCCAGACCGCCAGCUAAGGUCCCAAAGUCAUGGUUAAGUGGGAAACGAUGUGGGAAGGCCCAGACAGCCAGGAUGUUGGCUUAGAAGCAGCCAUCAUUUAAAGAAAGCGUAAUAGCUCACUGGUCGAGUCGGCCUGCGCGGAAGAUGUAACGGGGCUAAACCAUGCACCGAAGCUGCGGCAGCGACGCUGAUGCGUUGUUGGGUAGGGGAGCGUUCUGUAAGCCUG